rnacentral:sRNA from 1 species
CCAGAACCAGCGUGGGUCGAGUAUAGC